GGAAUGAUGUCCAACCUUGGCUCCAAAGAGGACUCCUUCCCAAGUAGAAAAUACACCACUGGGGCAUAGGUGGCUGCGACGUGGAAACCAACAUAUCGGCAAUGAUGAUGUGAGAGUUUUUCAUCGCAAGUUAGAUAUUAUGAAACGUCAUGAGUUUGUGUGGGAGCCGUACCCAUCAACCGUAAUAUCACUGUUGCCUCCCGUUUGUUUAGUCGGAAGUCUCGCGUGGUACGCGGUGGUGCCACUAAUUUGUUUCCAAGUUAUUGAGUGGCACCAACCGGACAGAGUAUUGAGACAAUUUGGGAUGCAACAACCAAUUCCAGAGUCUCCUUCACAAUCCUUAAACAUUCAUGGCAUAACAUUGAAAGGGAAACAUGACGAAAAUUGGGGGCAAUUGUUCGCCCCAAUGAUUGAUCAGUGGAAUAAUCGCCAUGCAUUUAGGGUUGACGCUUAUCCCCGACAAGAAGGCCUAUUGAGUUUUAACUCGGACUACAUGGUCUGGUAUAGGCGAAAGACAAAGAUGUUUGUUGACCCAGCAAA